AGCACUACAAAUACCUGGUCCUCCUGCCACUUCAGUGCCGGAUUGUUCCUUUGCCACGGCGAUACUCCUGCUACCUGUUUUUCACCAGGCGUCUUGGAGCUGGCUUCCUGGAUAUUUUUGUUUUACUUCAGUUGUCUCCACAAUAAAUUGAUUGUACUCUUCAA